CCAUGAGGGAGGAUACAGUAGACCCUCAUCCGUCAUUUGGCUGUGUGCAAGGAGAUGCUUGUGAUAAAUCAAUCUGAGAGGAAGCGUGACCCCUCAAAGUAGGGCUACUGCUGAAGAGGAUAUGGGCCCGCAGGCUGUCAUGCAAGGAAGGAUAUUAGUGCAGACUCGGUCAAGAGAGAAAGCCAUACCACCAUGCUCAGGCUUGGCUCUGCUGCAACCACUUCUCGUGCUCCAGUGCUGCCUUGCUGACUCUUGGAUGCUGCCUGUGCAAGGCCCAGCGCUGCCUUGCCUGCUUGGUGCGGGUUAUCAGUGGUCAGUUCCUGUUUCAGCAAAUAGCUCUGGUGGAAAAGGACUGAUCUGCAGGAGCAGCCACCACAGCAGGAUAUUCCAAAGCCAGGAUCCUCUGUGAGCUCUGGGCUUUCAUGUGAUGUGCACUACGGAUCCAACGCCGGUCCAGGUCUUCUGCUGCACGACUACACGCAGUGCUGCUGGCUUCAGCUCCACGUUCCUGCUUUGGGAGAGCAUGGAGCCUGCAUCUCUGCACCCACGGACACUGCUUCUGUCAGGUACCUGAGAGAUGGUGGAGCCCCCAGGUUUGUCCUCAGCUGAAGCUUUUCAGCUCUUUUCUCCACACCCCGCAUCCCGAGGCCCACCUGCUGGAUGCUCCACGGAACGGCUCGGCUCUGCUGCUUCGGAGAGCCUCGAAAUGAGUCCGCAGAUCAAGCGUGCCACCUGCAGCCCGCGUCUGGGACUGCGGGAGGCUCUGCUGCUGCGCCUACAGCAGGGGUGGGCAAGCAGCCCCUUCCUGAAGUAGCCCCUUCCUUCUCAGCUAAACUGUCUGUGCUUAAACUUCCCAGAGGUGAGAACAGGAGAAAUGGGUUUUUAAGAGGAAUUGAAGAGACUGAAUGAGAGAUAUUUCCCUAAUAAUUGAGUCGUUAAAACACACCUCUUAAAUUACGAAUUAAAAUGAGAUAAGGCUCAUGGUGUGCUGCCCUAUCAGAGUGCAGAGGGUUUACUGCUGUGCUCUUUCUCAAGGGUUCUUCUCCAACCCAUCCAUUUCACAAGUGAAAGGGAGAAAAAGUUUCAUUCAGGUGCUUUGGCCGAGCAGCUCCAACUGGCUGAAGCUCUGAAUGUCUUUGGUUGUGGGGUUUUGCCCAGGAAGACAGUGAGGAGUUGGCCUGUUUCUCCAAGGAGUGGAUCAUAGAAUCAUUGAGGCUGGAAAGGAUCUCUAAGAGCACAAUGUCCAUCCCUACUAACUGUGCCCCUCUCUGGUUGAGCCUAGGCCUUUCUAAAGGCUCUCCAGUCGUUCAGUCAAAAUUAAAUGGGGGUUUCAGCAAUCCUGCCCUUUUCUUACUCUUUUUUUGCUCUGCUAUUGACUUAGAGAAAUAAAGAACUCUUCUACACCUCAGUUCCCCCACCAAGACAACAACAGAACCAAUUCACCCACAAAGUAUCUUGAAAGCCACAAAUGCCUAAUGGCAGUGAUUUCUGGUUAGUGCUAUGGCAGAAA